rnacentral:rRNA from 1 species
GACGAACGCUGGCGGCGUGCCUAAUACAUGCAAGUAGAACGCACAGUUUAUACCGUAGCUUGCUACACCAUAAACUGUGAGUUGCGAACGGGUGAGUAACGCGUAGGUAACCUGCCUGGUAGCGGGGGAUAACUAUUGGAAACGAUAGCUAAUACCGCAUAAUAUUAAUUAUUGCAUGAUAAUUGAUUGAAAGAUGCAAUUGCAUCACUACCAGAUGGACCUGCGUUGUAUUAGCUAGUAGGUGAGGUAACGGCUCACCUAGGCGACGAUACAUAGCCGACCUGAGAGGGUGAUCGGCCACACUGGGACUGAGACACGGCCCAGACUCCUACGGGAGGCAGCAGUAGGGAAUCUUCGGCAAUGGACGAAAGUCUGACCGAGCAACGCCGCGUGAGUGAAGAAGGUUUUCGGAUCGUAAAGCUCUGUUGUAAGAGAAGAACGGGUGUGAGAGUGGAAAGUUCACACUGUGACGGUAUCUGACCAGAAAGGGACGGCUAACUACGUG